rnacentral:tRNA from 1 species
GGUGGCUCAGUGGUAGAGUGCUUGCCUUGCAUGCAUGAGGACCUGGGUUCGAUUCCGCAACACCA